GUGGUGAUUCUCGUGUGUUGAUGCUUGUUUCCGGUUUCCUCCGUCUCGAUAGAGUUCCGCAAGCGUGUCGGAUGUGAGGACCGUUCGACUACGUCGGUUCGUCUGCUUCACGGAGGCAUACUUCUUCCAAGCGGGAUCUCAGGCAAGAUGAUCAUUUCCCCAGAUACCAUUACUAUCAUUGCCAUGCUAGUUUUACCGUUUCUAUCGAUUAUGUCUCGUUGCCUACCACAUGUUAAAUAUCAGCCCCUCAACAAUGCCAUGUUAACCUUCAACCUGUUCGACCUAGCAAACCACUGAUUGGCUAUGUUACCGCUUUCUUAACCCUGUGUUAGCGUUGCUAGUUGCAGGUGUAGAUGCUUCCAUGCGAAAGCAUGGGUUCCUUGUUAUAUCACCAUAUUAUAUGUUAUUUAAUUUAGUGCACCUAUAUACUUGGUAAAAGGUGGAAGGCUCGGCUUUUCUAGCCUGGUGUUUUGUUCCACCUUUGCCCCCUUAGUUUCGGCUACCGGUGUUAUGUUCCAUAUAUGAGCGCUCCUAACACGAUCGGGGUUGUUAUGGGGACCCCCUUGAUAAUUCGUUUUAGAUUAAAGAUGGUCUGGCAAGGUCCAACUUUGGUACUACAUUUGCCUAAUAACCUAAUAAUAAUGCAUAGGGACCCCCCGGCACCAGCGGACUAAUUUAAUCAACCCCCGGGCCAGUGCUCCACAUGAGUGUUGGUCCCACCUGAGCGAUGUCCGGCGCCCCUCUGGUCGCCCGGAGGUUUAGCGAUCCCGACGUCUAGCUCAUCCGACGUGUCCUGAGAACGAGGUACGCGACUCCUAUCGGGAUCGUCGACACGUCGGGCGGCCUUGUUGGAUUAGUUUUACCUUUGACGAGAUAUCUUGUGCAUCGGGAUUCCGGUGAUGCUUUGGGUAAUCUCAGAGUUGAGGUUUUCCACUAGGGAAUCCGACGAGAUCGCGAGCUUCGUGAUUGAGGAUUUCUAUGCGGCUUGUGGUAAUUUGUGAUGGACUAGUUGGAGCACCCCUGCAGGGUUAAAUCUUUCGGAAAGCCGUGUCCGUGGUUAUGUGGCAACGUGGAAACUUUGUUUAACACUGGUUCUAGAUAACUUGAAGUUAAUUAAUUAAAAAUAUGCCAACUGUGUGCGUAACCGUGACUGUCUAUUUCGUGAGUUCCUUCUCCGAUCGAGGACACGGUGGGGUUAUGUCUGACGUAGGUAGGUGUUCAGGAUCAUUCAUUUGAUCAUCAGUAGUUCACGUCCGUUAUGCGUAGAUUUUCCCCAUCUUAUCUCUUGCACUCGUAAGUUAGCCACCAUAUAUAUGCUUAGCCGCUGCUGCAACCUCACCACUUAACCAUGCCUCACCCAUUAAGCUUUGCUAGUCUUGAUACCUUUGGAAAUGAGAUUGCUGAGUCCCCUGUGGCUCACAGAUUACUACAACACCAGUUGCAGGUACAGGUAAAGUUUACGUGACGCGAGCGCGUUGAUUGUUCAUUUGAAGUUGCUUCUUCUUCUUCUUCAUCGAUCUAGGAUGGGUUCCAGGCCGGCAGCCUGGGAUAGCAAGGAUGGACGUCGUUCUUCUUUUGUCGUUUAUUUUCGUCCGUAGUCGGACCCUGCUCUUACUCUUGAUGAAUAUGUAAUGUACUGAUGUGACUCUGAUGUAGCUUGUGGCGAGUGUAAGCCAACUCUUCUUAUAUCUCUUCUUUUCAGUACAGG
rnacentral:lncRNA from 1 species